rnacentral:rRNA from 1 species
GAUUGAACGCUGGCGGUAUGCUUAACACAUGCAAGUCGAACGGAAACGAUACUAGCUUGCUAGUAGGCGUCGAGUGGCGGACGGGUGAGUAACGCGUAGGAAUCUGCCUGAUAGUGGGGGAUAGCCCGAAGAAAUUCGGAUUAAUACCGCAUAAUCUAUUCGUAGUAAAGUGGGGGACUUUCGAGCCUCACGCUAUCAGAUGAGCCUGCGUAAGAUUAGCUUGUUGGUAGGGUAAAAGCCUACCAAGGCGACGAUCUUUAGCUGGUCUGAGAGGAUGAUCAGCCACAUCGGGACUGAGACACGGCCCGAACUCCUACGGGAGGCAGCAGUGGGGAAUAUUGGACAAUGGGGGCAACCCUGAUCCAGCAAUACCGCGUGUGUGAAGAAGGCCUGAGGGUUGUAAAGCACUUUCAAUUGUGAAGAAAAGUUAGCGGUUAAUAACCGUUAGCCUUGACGUUAACUUUAGAAGAAGCACCGGCUAACUCCGUGCCAGCAGCCGCGGUAAUACGGAGGGUGCAAGCGUUAAUCGGAAUUACUGGGCGUAAAGCGUGCGUAGGCGGUUUAUUAAGUCAGAUGUGAAAGCCCCGGGCUUAACCUGGGAAACUGCAUUUGAAACUGGUCAACUAGAGUAUGGUAGAGGAAAGUGGAAUUUCUGGUGUAGCGGUGAAAUGCGUAGAUAUCAGAAGGAACAUCAAUGGCGAAGGCAGCUUUCUGGACCAAUACUGACGCUGAGGUACGGAAGCGUGGGUAGCAAACAGGAUUAGAUACCCUGGUAGUCCACGCCGUAAACGAUGAUAACUAGCCGUUGGGGGGAUUUACCCUUUAGUGGCGAAGCUAACGCGUUAAGUUAUCCGCCUGGGGAGUACGGCCGCAAGGUUAAAACUCAAAGGAAUUGACGGGGACCCGCACAAGCGGUGGAGCAUGUGGUUUAAUUCGAUGCAACGCGAAGAACCUUACCUGGUCUUGACAUCCUGCGAACUUUCUAGAAAUAGAUUGGUGCCUUCGGGAACGCAGUGACAGGUGCUGCAUGGCUGUCGUCAGCUCGUGUCGUGAGAUGUUGGGUUAAGUCCCGUAACGAGCGCAACCCCUAUCCUUAUUUGCCAGCACAUCAUGGUGGGAACUAUAAGGAGACUGCCGGUGAUAAACCGGAGGAAGGCGGGGACGACGUCAAGUCAUCAUGGCCCUUACGACCAGGGCUACACACGUGCUACAAUGGGAAGGACAAAGAGCCGCGAAGCCGCGAGGUGUAGCUAAUCUCAUAAACCUUUUCGUAGUCCGGAUUGGAGUCUGCAACUCGACUCCAUGAAGUCGGAAUCGCUAGUAAUCGUAGAUCAGAAUGCUACGGUGAAUACGUUCCCGGGUCUUGUACACACCGC